CAAUUGUUGUGACUCCCCUCAUUGUCACAUCUGUCGGCUGUUUUUAUCUGAGAAAAAGACACACAAGGAGGUGGAAAGGCUCUCCGGCAGAUGCUUUGUUAAAUACAUAUCACAUUGCUUUAGAGCUAAGGAGACACCAAGGGUAUUUAGAAAGUCAUUGGUUUUCGUUGAGGCCUGAAAUUAAAUUGAGAAACAAAAAUGACAUAAGCCAUUGGAGUGGAGAAAAAAAGUGUCCAUAAAAUCUGGAGCAUGGCAUGCGUUCGGCUCAGUCUCUGGAGAAAUGAGUGUCCAUCUGGAAUCCAGAACUGCUACCUUAGGACUGUUUUAAAUUUCUAAGACCCACAACCCUUUUAUGGUCCCAAAACAACUUGGACUUCGAAUGACAAAGCAUAUGACCUAAAUACAUUGCCAUUUGCUACAAGUAAUUCACUCCAUUCCAAUUAAAUCACUGCAUUAUAUUUUGUUAUAUUUUGUAAAAUAGGAUUUUCCUUUUAUUUGUACUAUGCAGACAUAGAACUUGCUGCUAAGUAAGGCUUAGUCGAAUUUGUUAUAUCAUUUACAUCAGUGGUUCUCAAUUCUGGGCCUAUUUUGUACGUUUCUCUUAUCAAUUCAGAGGUUUGUUCUAGUCGACCGUAAGUGUCCUGCGAAGUGAACAUCAUAGGAUAUUCCACCAUGAUUCCAGUUUGACGGGAACAUAUAUGUUCCAUUCAAAAGACAUUAAAGUGUGCAAGAUGUGAAUUUAAAUAGUAUUUAUUUACCAAGGUAUAUUAUGUCACACUUCUCUAGUAAGUUUUGUCUGUGUGUGAAGAAAACUUAAUGUUAAGUGUUGUUAAUGGAUAUAUUUCAGUGGGUUUAUGUUGUAAAAUUAGUCUAGUUAUCUUGGUAAACUGCUGGUAACUGGUAACUUUACGCAGCAACUGCUACGUAAAUUUAAAAAAAGUUUAUCUAGCUUGCUUUAGUUAACAUAUUCCCCAAUGACAAAUCUGCAGACACAUUCUGCUCAUCUGAUUUCAGAAGCUCCAAACACUGCAGCUGACUUCUGAUUUACCUGAGACAGCCUUGGAGGACAAAUGGUGUGUCUUAAUUUGUUAAUUAAUAUAUCAGAAUUUUCAAACAUCAUGUCUCCAUUCCCUCCUUCAGGGAACGAGGGUUACAUACGUAACUGAGACAUUCCCUUUCAGUCUGUCACUCUCAUUCGUUGGUGACCAACGAAUUGGGAUCCCUACCAAAGUGCCAUGAAUGCUGCCCCUUCCAGUGCCCCGUACAAGCCGCCUGCACCUCUUUUAGGUGAAGGCCAGGGCUCGCAACAAAACAAACAGUCAGCGUUAUCGUAGCACUACCCACUCAGUGAGAUUGGAUAACACUGGGAAGCCCCAUCCUUCCCGAAGGAGG
ensembl:lncRNA